AUACGUAGGUGACAAGCGUUAUCCGGAUUUACUGGGCGUAAAGGGCGUGUAGGCGGUCUUGCAAGUCAGAAGUGAAAUUCCUGAGCUCAACUCGGGCGCUGCUUCUGAAACUGCAGGACUUGAGUGCUGGAGGGGAUAGCGGAAUUCCUAGUGGAGCGGUAAAAUGCGCAGAUAUUAGGAAGAACACCGGUGGCGAAGGCGGCUAUCUGGACAGUAACUGACGCUGAGGCGCGAAAGCGUGGGGAGCAAACAGGAUUAGAUACCCUGGUAGUCCACGCAGUAAACGAUGAUGGCUAACCGCUGGGCUUAUCAGUUCAGUGGCCAAGCGAAAGCGAUAAGCCAUCCACCUGGGGAGUACGACCGCAAGGUUGAAACUCAAAUGAAUUGGCGGGG
rnacentral:rRNA from 1 species